AUAGCGUAUAGUACUGUGAAGGAAAGGUGAAAAGCACCCCGGGAGGGGAGUGAAAUAGAACCUGAAACCCUGUGCCUACAAGCACCUAGAGCGCGUCAAAGCGUGAUAGGGUACUUUUUGUAGAACGGUCCGGCGAGCGAUUGUAUGCAGCAAGGUUAAGGACUUAAGGUCUGGAGCCGAAGCGAAAGCGAGUUUGAAAAGGGCGUUAAGUUGCAUAUAAUGGGCCCGAAACCGGGUGACCUACCCAUGGUCAGGUUGAAGUGGAAGUAAAAUUCCAUGGAGGACCGAACCGACCUCCGUUGAAAAGGCGGCGGAUGAACUGUGGGUAGCGGAGAAAUUCCAAUCGAACCCGGAGAUAGCUGGUUCUCCCCGAAAUAGUUUUAGGACUAGCCUCAAGUUAGAUACCUGGAGGUAAAGCACUGAAUAGCCUAGCGGCCGAGAGGUUAGCGAAGCUUAUCAAACUCAGAAUGCCAGAGUAUUGAUGCUUGGGAGUCAGACAGUGUCAGAUAAAUGUCAUUGUCAAAAGGGAAACAGCCCAGAUCUACAGCUAAGGUCCCAAAGUCAGGUUAAGUGGAAAACGAUGUGAAGAUACGUAGACAACCAGGAUGUUGGCUCAGAAGCAGCCAUACAUUCAAAGAGUGCGUAAUAGCUCACUGGUCGAGCGUCUUUGCGCGGAGAAUUUAACGGGGCUAAACCUGACACCGAAGCUUAGGCAAUACAGCAAUGUAUUGGGUAGGGGAGCGUUGUAUACGCGGUGAAACAGUAGCGCAAGCGGCUGUGGAGUGUAUAGAAGUGAGAAUGCCGGAAUGAGUAGCGCGAAUGCAGUGAGAAUCUGCAUGGCCGAAAGCCUCAGGUUUUUGGAGGAAGGUUCGUCCGCUCCAAGUUAGUCGGGAGCUAAGGUGAGGCCGAAAGGCGUAGCCGAUGCACAGACGGUAGAGAUUCCGUCACCACCAAAAGAGUUAAGCACAGGGACACAUUUGAAGUCUCAGAGCCGGGUGUUGGUUCCGGUAGAGAUCGAGGGAAAUUAGUACCGAAGUCUGGGAUGGAAGAUGGCGAGAAAAGCUGUGUGUAUUUCUGAGGUGCCCGUACCGCAAACCGACACAGGUAGGUAGGAAGAAGAUUCUAAGGCCAACGGGAGAAGGGUUGUUAAGGAACUCGGCAAAUUGACCCCGUAACUUCGGGAGAAGGGGUGCUCCAGAGAUGGAGCCGCAGAGAAUCGGCCCAAGCAACUGUUUACCAAAAACACAGGUUUGUGCUAAAUCGAAAGAUGACGUAUACGAGCUGACGCCUGCCCGGUGCUGGAAGGUUAAGAGGAGAUGUGCAAGCAUUGAAUCGAAGCCCCAGUGAACGGCGGCCGUAACUAUAACGGUCCUAAGGUAGCGAAAUUCCUUGUCAGGUAAGUUCUGACCCGCACGAAAGGCGUAAUGAUUUGGGCACUGUCUCAACAGCCCGCCCGGCGAAAUUGUAGUACCGGUGAAGAUGCCGGUUACCCGCGACAAGACGGAAAGACCCCAUGGAGCUUUACUGUAGCCUAAUAUUGGGUUUCGAUGUUGCAUGCACAGGAUAGAUGGGACACUGGGAAGCAAGUGCUUUGGCAUUUGUGGAGUGGCCGUUGGGAUACCAUCCUUGCGAUAUUGGAAUUCUAACCUGCGCCUUUGAAUCAAGGCGGGGGACAUUGUUAGGUGGGCAGUUUGACUGGGGCGGUCGCCUCCUAAAGAGUAACGGAGGCGUUCAAAGGUUCGCUCAGCUUGAACGGAAAUCAAGCAAAAGAGUGCAAACGCAGAAGCGAGCCUAACUGCGAGACUGACGGGUCGAGCAGUAACGAAAGUUGGAGUUAGUGAUC
rnacentral:rRNA from 1 species